rnacentral:rRNA from 1 species
ACGGAAGGCAGCAGUGGGGAAUAUUGCACAAUGGGCGAAAGCCUGAUGCAGCGACGCCGCGUGAACGAAGAAGUAUUUCGGUAUGUAAAGUUCUAUCAGCAGGGAAGAAGAAUGACGGUACCUGACUAAGAAGCACCGGCUAAAUACGUGCCAGCAGCCGCGGUAAUACGUAUGGGGCAAGCGUUAUCCGGAUUUACUGGGUGUAAAGGGAGUGUAGGUGGUCUGGCAAGUCAGAUGUGAAAGCCCGCGGCUCAACUGCGGGACUGCAUUUGAAACUGUCAGACUAGAGUGCAGGAGAGGAAAGUGGAAUUCCUAGUGUAGCGGUGAAAUGCGUAGAUAUUAGGAAGAACACCAGUGGCGAAGGCGGCUUUCUGGACUGUAACUGACACUGAGGCUCGAAAGCGUGGGGAGCAAACAGGAUUAGAUACCCUGGUA